AGUGAACGCUGGCGGUAGGCCUAACACAUGCAAGUCGAACGGCAGCACAGUAAGAGCUUGCUCUUACGGGUGGCGAGUGGCGGACGGGUGAGGAAUACAUCGGAAUCUACUUUUUCGUGGGGGAUAACGUAGGGAAACUUACGCUAAUACCGCAUACGACCUACGGGUGAAAGCAGGGGAUCUUCGGACCUUGCGCGAUUGAAUGAGCCGAUGUCGGAUUAGCUAGUUGGCGGGGUAAAGGCCCACCAAGGCGCCGAUCCGUAGCUGGUCUGAGAGGAUGAUCAGCCACACUGGAACUGAGAAACGGUCCAGACUCCUACGGGAGGCAGCAGUGGGGAAUAUUGGACAAUGGGCGCAAGCCUGAUCCAGCCAUACCGCGUGGGUGAAGAAGGCCUUCGGGUUGUAAAGCCCUGUUGUUGGGAAAGAAAAGCAGCAGGUUAAUACCCCGCUGUUCUGACGGUACCCAAAGAAUAAGCACCGGCUAACUUCGUG
rnacentral:rRNA from 1 species